CCCAAAAUAUCUACCUAAAUAGCAUAAAAACAGUAAGUCAUAUAUAAUAAUAAAAAGCAAAGCAGUUUUUUUUACAGGAAAUGGGCUUUCCUCAGGCCCAAUUAAGAUACACAAAAAAAAUCCCCCAUCAGAAAAUGGGGGUGUUAAGAUCAAAGGAGACGCAUUGGGCCCAAACUGGAAGCCCACCUCCGGAAAUGGCUUCCCAUGAUCCACAUGAAGGAAGCUGACUUUAAAAAAACUUUAAACCAAAACCGUACGAUCCUAAGACCUGGCUUGGUCAACGCCCAAACCAAAGACCCUGAUGUGUUGGAACACCGUAAUGUCGUGGAUCCGCGCGCACGUUACGAAAAUCCUAGUCACAGACCUUGUGACAAGUGUCCCAACGGGGGAGACACUUGUCACCACCGCAUGGCCACAACCCUAAGACUAAAGCCAGCAAAGAGGAACCCUAACCUCAUUUAUUUCAAAUCGUUCUCUCUCUAAAACCUCUCUCUAACUCUCAGAGCGAAUAUGCGCUCUACAACUUCUUCAAUCUCCUCGGCGAACCUACCGGAGAAGACGGCGGUUGCCAGCCAACGACGGCGGCGCCACCUUCUUCUCUGGUGAACCUUCAACCAAACCACCGAAACCUAAACACUAAACCCCCCUAUUUUUGGCCGGGGAACACGAAUUCGGCCUUACUUUACCCUAAAAACCCUUCAAAUGACUGAAUCGGAACUUAUCCUUAUCAACCAAACAAAACUCAGACAAAAAUCAAAGGCUUUCAGCCAACGCGACGAAAUUAAAAUGGAUAAAGAGGAAGCUUUAAAAAAGAGAAACGAAGCAAAGGUAUUCGACGCUACGGCAAGGGUCUCUUGGCGCGGUUAUGUUGGUCUCGUUCGGAGAUAAAUCGUCGGUGACACUUCCUCCUUCAUCCUCAAGAUAAGUUGUACCAUAUAAUUGCCUAGACAGUCAUGGCAUUUGAGAUCGGAUUUUGAAGUGUGUCUCCUCUGAUGACUUAACACAAUGGAGCUUUGAAGAUAUACUUGAGAUGGGGACUUUGGCCUGUAUCCUCCUAGAGCGACCGGAAAAGAUGAGUGCAAGGAGUUUCCAUGGUUAUAUAAUAUGUUGUUUCAAAUUUAAACAAUUGAUUUCUGACAUGUAAUUGCGCCUUUUGGACUAUAAGCUUAGGAUUUCUGUUAAUGCAAAUUGCAAUAUAAUAUUUUUAUCAA